rnacentral:rRNA from 1 species
GACGAACGCUGGCGGCGUGCCUAAUACAUGCAAGUAGAACGCUGAAGGAGGAGCUUGCUUCUCUGGAUGAGUUGCGAACGGGUGAGUAACGCGUAGGUAACCUGCCUGGUAGCGGGGGAUAACUAUUGGAAACGAUAGCUAAUACCGCAUAAUAGUAGAUGUUGCAUGACAUUUGCCUAAAAGGUGCAAUUGCAUCACUACCAGAUGGACCUGCGUUGUAUUAGCUAGUUGGUGGGGUAACGGCUCACCAAGGCGACGAUACGUAGCCGACCUGAGAGGGUGAUCGGCCACACUGGGACUGAGACACGGCCCAGACUCCUACGGGAGGCAGCAGUAGGGAAUCUUCGGCAAUGGACGGAAGUCUGACCGAGCAACGCCGCGUGAGUGAAGAAGGUUUUCGGAUCGUAAAGCUCUGUUGUAAGAGAAGAACGAGUGUGAGAGUGGAAAGUUCACACUGUGACGGUAUCUUACCAGAAAGGGACGGCUAACUACGUG